rnacentral:lncRNA from 1 species
AUACAGCCCACUGGUUGGGGCAUCAGAAUUCCUGUGGGGGUGCCCCGAGUAGCAGUCACAGAGAGGGGCCUUCGCUAAGCUGCUUUCAAUCCAGUCCACCUUUUUUUUAGCAUCUCCUUCAUGCCAGGCACUGUGUGGAGAGAUGGUGCUACAGAGGUAAACUAAUCCAGCUACAGUCCUUGCCUUCAUGGGCUUUCAGCAAAGUAAUCUACUCCUCACACUUAAUUCUCCUGAGAAGGCUUCCUGGAUACACUUGAGAAUGAACUCCACUUUGGUUAUACAGACACAUGGAACUCCAUCACUGCUGUUGCUGAGAAAAUAUCAAUGGCUACAUUAUUUUCAACUGCUGCCUAUGAGUUAUAUCAGAGAUUAAUUGAUCAGCUAAAUGAGAAAAUGCAGAGAAUACACAAGGAAUAAAUCGAUGAAGGAAAAAGUGUGCUGUGUCUUCUAUACCUGGGAUCAAUUGUGUUACAGCUCACUCAGAGAGGCACCAGAUUGCCAAACAGCCUGCUUGCAAGGGGUCACAAAUAGGGCAAAUCACCAGCUUAACAACAUGUGAAAUUUUCAUUGUCUUAUUUAUAACCAAUUUCUCACUAAAGUGAACAACAUUUCUUAAUGGUACAGUUCUGCAGAAGAACAAACUAGAAAUGUUUUCUUUCCUUCUAAUUGGGACAAAACUGAUCAUCACCUAAUGGGCUCUUUACAGAGAAUAAAAGAAACUAAACUAAAAAAAAUGCUCAGCACGAAUUGGACGCUAAGGAUUAAAUGAAAAUAAAAGGACAGUUUUGUUUCAUUUUUACCUCAGAUCUUUAAAGGUACUGUUAGAAAAAUCUAAUAAUUGUUUUAUAACUCUUAUUUGGUAGAAAAAGCUAAUUAUUAUUAAAAAUUUUAAUAAAAAUGAGAAAGGAUUGUCGAGAAGUGAAAAAUUAAAAGGGAGAUUUCCAAUGUUGAAAAAGCACCUUUUAUGAACAUAAAAAUCUAUCAGUCUGUCCUCCCCUAACCAUAUUUGGAUAGGAUCUGA